CUCCGCUUUUAUUGUGAAGGAGUCGGCGCGGAAGUGUUAUUGUUGUUGGCGGAACGGGCUAACAGGAGCUAACUGGAGCUAACUGGAGCUAAAAGAGCUAACAUGACGGAAUAAGUGAUGGCUGCGGACAUCAGUCCAGCAUGGACAAACAGGCGGCGUCCAGCAGGAGAAGAUGUCUGUCCCACGCAGUCUAAAUCUCUGAGGAUGGAUGGACAGAUGAGCGUCUUCAGACGGGACAGGAAGUCACACACAGUGUCCACACACAGCUCCUCUGAGGAUAGAACACCUGCUUCAGGUAGCGGGAUAAUGGGGGAGGAGGCGG